UACGGGGGGGGCAAGCGUUGUUCGGAAUUACUGGGCGUAAAGGGCUCGUAGGUGGCCAACUAAGUCGGACGUGAAAUCCCUCGGCUUAACCGGGGAACUGCGUCUGAUACUGGAUGGCUUGAGUUCGGGAGAGGGAUGCGGAAUUCCAGGUGUAGCGGUGAAAUGCGUAGAUAUCUGGAGGAACACCGGUGGCGAAGGCGGCAUCCUGGACCGGCAUUGACGCUGAGGCGCGAAAGCCAGGGGAGCAAACGGG
rnacentral:rRNA from 1 species